GCAAACUUGGUCAUUUAGAGGAAGUAAAAGUCGUAACAAGGUUUCCGUAGGUGAACCUGCGGAAGGAUCAUUACUGGGUUAUGUCGGGGUAAGCAAAACCCUUACCUCCGGCAGCCAUGAUCAACCACUUUGUGCACGCAUAGACUUUUUAACGGGCUUUGGCGGAUGUUAAAGUCUGCCAAAGUUUUUCGUUUUUCAAUAAACUUGUCUUGUAUUCGACUGAGAUUUGUUUAAAAACAAUAAAAACAACUUUCAACAACGGAUCUCUUGGCUCUCGCAUCGAUGAAGAACGCAGC
rnacentral:misc_RNA from 1 species